AAAAUAAGAGCAUAUGGUGGAUGCCUCGACAUAAAUAGCCUAUGAAGGACGCGGCGUGGCUGCGAUAAGCCUCGGGAAGGUGCUGAGCAACCUAUGAUCCGGGGAUUUCCGAAUGGGGUAACCUAAUUUGCUGAUUAAGGCAAAUUGAUCUGGCCGCAAGGCUGGAUCGGGAACUCGGCGAAGCGAAACCUCACAGUAGCCGGAGGAAAAGAAAAGAAAGUUAACAUUUCAUUUUGCUUUCAACUUUCAGUCGCUAACUGUUGUUGGUGCCUGAGAGUUGAUCGUUGAAGCGUUAUGUUAGCACAUUCCCUUAGUAGCGGUGAGCGAACAGGGAGUAGUCCAAACCUGACAUCACUUGUGGUGGCGGGUGUAGUAAGAUAAAGGCGUUCCAAUUUAUUGGAGAGAAGUUAUUUUGAGUUACUUAGUAGAAGACUCUGGAAAGAGUCACCAAAGAGGGUAACAGUCCCGUAAAUGAAAAUUAAUUCAUACUUCUUGUCUUUAUUCUUGAGUAGCCCGGGGAAAGAAAGCCCCGGGUGAAGCAAGGUCAACUAACGACCUAAGACUAAAUACUAUUUGUGAUCGAUAGCGAACAAGUACCGCGAGGGAAAGGUGAAAAGUAGCCCGGUGAGGGCAGUGAAAUAGAACCUGAAACCAUAUGCUUACAAAGAGUCGGAGCCUCGCCGUAAGGCGGGGUGACGGCGUGCUUUUUGUAGAACGAUCCGGCGAGUUUAUGUGUUCUGCUGCUUAAAUUAUUUUCAUAAUGAAGGCGCAGGGAAACCAAGUCUUAAAAGGGCGUAACCUUACAUAUUACUUAUGGCUCGUGGCCGUCCCGCUUGCGGGGUUGCCAUAUGCCAUUUGUUGUUUGUUUGGUAAGUAGGACACAUAAGACCCGAAGCCAGGUGAGCUACCCAUGAUCAGGAUGAACUCCGUAGAGAUACGGAGGGAGGUCCGAACCCGUAAGCCGUGCAAUACUUUGGGAUGAAUUGUGGGUAGAAGUGAAAAGCUCAUCGAACCUGGUAAUAGCUGGUUCUCUCCGAAAUAUCUUUCGGGAUAGCACUAUAUAGUAUCUUUGGAGGUAGAGCACUGAAUGGUGUUCAUUGGCCUUGCGCCAGGAAAACCAAUCAAACUCCGAAUGCCAAAGACUUUAUGUAUAGUAGUUAGACUGUGGGGGCUAAGCUCCAUAGUCAAAAGGGAAAAAGCCCAGACCGCCAUCUAAGGUCCCCAAAUCUUCGCUAAGUGCAAAUUUCAAGGAAGUGUGGCUUCACAGACACCUAGGAGGUUGGCUUAGAAGCAGCCAUCCUUAAAAGAAAGCGUAACAGCUCACUAGUUUAGAGGCUACGCGCCGAAAAUGUAUGGGGCUAAGCGAAGUACCGACGAUGCGGAUUCUACCUAACUUUUGCGAUUUAGAUUAUUUUUUGUAAUCUUUUUGCCGGAUUUUUCUGGUAACUGGAUGUUAAGAAUAGUUUGAAUUGCAAUAGUUGGGUAGAAUGGUAGGAGAGCUUAUCCUGCGCAGUGAAGGCAAAUUGUGAAAUUUGCUGGAGUGCAGGGUAGUGAGAAUGCCGGAAUGAGUAACCACAAGUCAUGUGAGAACCAUGACCGCCGAAAGCCUAAGGUUUCCGUGGCAAUGACAAUCAACCACGGGUUAGUCGGGCCUAAGACCAACCCUAAAGGGGUAGUCGAUGGACAGCAGAUUAAUAUUUCUGCACUUCUUAAAGAUUCAAUGGGAGGGACAAAUUUUAGUAGUCAGCGCGCGUUAUUGGAUUCGCGUCUGUUUCUUAAGGAAUUUUGCCAGGCAAAUCCGGCAGAAUGUCUUCAAUGACGAUUCUAAGAGAUGCAGGGAAUUCCAUUUAUGGAAGAACGCUGAUGAGCAAGGUUUCGAGAAAAACUUCUAAGGUUAAUCUUUAUGAACCCGUACCGAAGACCGACACAGGUGGGCCGGUGUAAAUGCACCAAGGCGAACGAGUGAUUCUUCGUUAAGGAACUCGGCAAAAAAGUGGCCGUAAGUUUGACGAUAAGGCCUCCCUGAUUUAUUUCAGGGCGCAGCUAACGACCCCUAGCGACUGUUUAUCAAAAACACAGGUCCCUGCGAACUCAUUAAGAGGAUGUAUAGGGGCUGACACCUGUCCAGUGCUGGAACCUUAACGGUUGCGGUGAUAGGGAUGAGAUUAUAUCAAUUUUUUAUUGCUAAAGCCCGAAGGGCCAGUGAACGACAGCGAUAACUAUAAUCGUUCUAAGGUAGCGAAAUUCCUUGGCAUGUAAGUUAUGUCCCGCACGAAUGGUGUAACGACUGGGGGACUGUCUCAACGAAGAGCUCGGUGAAAAUGCAAUGUCCGUGAAGAUGCGGACUACCUGCAACUAGACGAAAAGACCCCGGAAGCUUCACUACAGCUUGAUAUUGGCGAUGCUUUCCAAAUACGUAGAAUAGGUGGGAGAGGUUGAAGGCUUGGUUUCGGCCAGGCUGGACUCGACAGUGAAAUACCACUUUUUUGGAGCGCUUCGUUCUAACGUUGCCAUGUUAGCAGCAUGGCGCGGACAGUGUCUGGUGGGUAGUUUUAGUGGGGUGCUAUCCUCCUAAAAAGUAACGGAGGAGUUUAUCAAGGUUGGCUAGCUCCGGAUGGAAAUCGGAGCGAUAGUGUAAAGGCAAAAGCCAGCUUUACAGCGAGACAUAUAGGUCGAGCUGUUGCGAAAGCAGAACUUAGUGAACCGACCCUUCGAUGUAGUCGGGGGGAAGAUCAACAAAUAAAAGCUACUCCGGGGAUAACAGGCUGGUGAAGCCCAAGCGUCCAUAGCGACGGCUUCGCUCGGCACCUCGAUGUCGGCUCAUCUUAUCCUGGUGGUGGAGAAGCUACCAAGGGUUUGGCUGUUCGCCAAUUAAAAAGAUACGUGAGCUGGGUUCAAACCGUCAAAAAAAUUCCCAUGCAUUGUUGGGUUAGGCGGCCUUUUGUGGCGACACAAAAGUGAAUAAAUCGACUCAUAUCGGUGAAGUCCUUUCAUACUUGUUGUUUGCAAACAACCUGUCGUAUGAUCGCGAUAAUACCGAGGGAAGUCCUCCGACGUGACGUCGGAGUGACCCCGUAGAGACUUAGUCCGAUAAGGACUGGAGUUAUCAUAUUGAUAGCUAAGACGUCGAUUAUCCAGCCCCAAUUUUAUAAAAAUUGGAGCGGGAUAGUGGUAUAGUCCAUGCACUUAGUAAUAAGUGGUUUAACAUGCGCGAGACAGGUUGGUCUCCUAUCUGUUGCAGGCGUAGAAUCUUGAGAAGACUUGCUCCUAGUACGAGAGGACCGGAGUGAACUGACCUCUGGUGUACCGGCUGUUCUGCCAAGAGCAUUGCCGGGUAGCUAUGUCGGGAACGGAUAAGCGCUGAAAGCAUAUAAGCGCGAAGCCAACUUCAAGAUUAGGAUUC
rnacentral:rRNA from 1 species